rfam:Triticum urartu cultivar G1812 contig952959, whole genome shotgun sequence.
AACCUACUUCCUCCGAUCGGAAUUACUUGUCUCGGAAAUGGAUGUAUCUAGAAUUAAAAUACGUUUAGAUACAUCCAUUUCUACGACAAGUAAUUCCGAACGGAGGGAGUAGACC